rnacentral:rRNA from 1 species
AGAGUUUGAUCCUGGCUCAGGAUGAACGCUGGCGGUAUGCCUAACACAUGCAAGUCGUACGAGGGUUUUUAACUCUAGUGGCGGACGGGUGAGUAACACGUGAGAAUUUGCCUUUAGGAGGGGGAUAACAAUCGGAAACGAAUGCUAAUACCCCAUAUGCUUUUGAGUGAAAUGGAUUUAUCCGCCUAAAGAGAAGCUCGCGGCUGAUUAGCUUGUUGGUAAGGUAAGAGCUUACCAAGGCGACGAUCAGUAUCUGGUUUGAGAGGACGAUCAGACACACUGGAACUGAGACACGGUCCAGACUCCUACGGGAGGCAGCAGUGGGGAAUUUUCCGCAAUGGGCGAAAGCCUGACGGAGCAAUACCGCGUGAGGGAAGACUGCCUAUGGGUUGUAAACCUCUUUUUUCAGGGAGGAAUAAAAUGACGUGUACCUGAAGAAUAAGCAUCGGCUAACUCCGUGCCAGCAGCCGCGGUAAGACGGAGGAUGCAUGUGUUAUCCGGAAUCACUGGGCGUAAAGCGUCUGUAGGUGGUUUAAUAAGUCAACUGUUAAAUCUUGAGGCUCAACUUCAAAAUCGCAGUCGAAACUAUUAGACUAGAGUAUAGUAGAGGUAAAGGGAAUUUCCAGUGGAGCGGUGAAAUGCGUAGAUAUUGGAAAGAACACCGAUGGCGAAAGUACUUUACUGGGCUAUUACUAACACUCAGAGACGAAAGCUAGGGUAGCAAAUGGGAUUAGAUACCCCAGUAGUCCUAGCCGUAAACUAUGGAUACUAGAUGUUGAACAGAUCGACCUGUGCAGUAUCAAAGCUAACGCGUUAAGUAUCCCGCCUGGGAAGUAUGCUCGCAAGAGUGAAACUCAAAGGAAUUGACGG